rnacentral:rRNA from 1 species
UGAUGACGAGACGCUAAGGCGUUGAAGCAGUGUAUGUCAGACUUCCAAGAAAAGCUCGCAAUGCCACAGAUAAAAAAUGCCUGUACCAUAACCGACACAGGUGGGUAGGUAGAGUAUACUAAGGGGCGCGAGAUAACUCUCUCUAAGGAACUCGGCAAAAUGACUCCGUAACUUCGGGAGAAGGAGUGCCUUAUUUAUAAGGUUGCAAUAACAAGAUCCAAGCAACUGUUUAUCAAAAACACAGGUCUCCGCUAAGUCGUAAGACGAUGUAUGGGGGCUGACGCCUGCCCAGUGCCAGAAGGUUAAAGAAGUUGGUUAGUGUAUGCGAAGCUGAUGACUGAAGCCCUGGUGAACGGCGGCCGUAACAAUAACGGUCCUAAGGUAGCGAAAUUCCUUGUCGGGUAAGUUCCGACCUGCACGAAAGGCGUAAUGAUUUGGAUACUGUCUCGGAGAGAGGCUCGGUGAAAUAGACUUGUCUGUGAAGAUGCGGACUACCUGCACCAGGACAGAAAGACCCUAUGAAGCUUUACUGUACUUGAAAUUGGAAUUGGACUUUGCUUGCGCAGUAUAGGUGGGAAGCGUUGAAAAUAUUCUUGCGGGAGUAUUGGAGCUAUCAGUGAGAUACCACUCUUGUAAUGUUAGAUUUCUAACUUUGAACCAUAAUCUGGUCAAAGAACAGUUUCAGGUGGGCAGUUUGACUGGGGCGGUCGCCUCCCAAAUGGUAACGGAGGCGUACAAAGGUUUCCUCUGAACGGAUAGAAAUCGUAUCUAGAGUGUAAAGGCAUAAGGAAGCUUGACUGUGAGACCUACAAGUCGAGCAGGGACGAAAGUCGGUCUUAGUGAUCUGACGGUACUGAGUGGAAAGGCCGUCACUCAACGGAUAAAAGUUACUCUAAGGAUAACAGGCUGAUCUCCCCCAAGAGUUCACAUCGACGGGGAGGUUUGGCACCUCGAUGUCGGCUCAUCGCAUCCUGGGGCGGUAGUACGUCCCAAGGGUUGGGCUGUUCGCCCAUGAAAGCGGUACGCGAGCUGGGUUCAGAACGUCGUGAGACAGUUCGGUCCAUAUCCGGUGUAGGCGCUAGAAUAUUGAGAGGAGCCUUCUUUAGUACGAGAGGACCGAGAAGGACACACCGCUGGUGUACCAGUUAUCGUGCCAACGGUAAACGCUGUAGCUAUGUGUGGAGUGGAUAACCGCUGAAAGCAUCUAAGUGGGAAGCCCACCUCGAGAUGAGUAUUCUC